rnacentral:tRNA from 2 species
CGGAGCAUAGCUCAGCUGGUUUAGAGCGUGCGCUUCACACGCGCAAGGUCACUGGUUCGAAUCCAGUUGUUCCGA